CCUACGGGAGGCAGCAGUGAGGAAUAUUGGUCAAUGGACGAGAGUCUGAACCAGCCAAGUAGCGUGAAGGAUGACUGCCCUAUGGGUUGUAAACUUCUUUUAUAUGGGAAUAAAACGUUCCACGUGUGGGAUUUUGUAUGUACCAUAUGAAUAAGGAUCGGCUAACUCCGUGCCAGCAGCCGCGGUAAUACGGAGGAUCCGAGCGUUAUCCGGAUUUAUUGGGUUUAAGGGGAGCGUAGGUGGAUUGUUAAGUCAGUUGUGAAAGUUUGCGGCUCAACCGUAAAAUUGCAGUUGAAACUGGCAGUCUUGAGGACAGUAGAGGUGGGCGGAAUUCGUGGUGUAGCGGUGAAAUGCUUAGAUAUCACGAAGAACUCCGAUUGCGAAGGCAGUUCACUGGACUGCAACUGACACUGAGGCUCGAAAGUGUGGGUAUCAAACAGGAUUAGAUACCCCUGUAGUC
rnacentral:rRNA from 1 species